rnacentral:rRNA from 1 species
CGGGUAGCCGGCCUGAGAGGGCGACCGGCCACACUGGGACUGAGACACGGCCCAGACUCCUACGGGAGGCAGCAGUGGGGAAUAUUGCACAAUGGGCGAAAGCCUGAUGCAGCGACGCCGCGUGAGGGAUGACGGCCUUCGGGUUGUAAACCUCUUUCAGCAGGGAAGAAGGCUUCGGUUGACGGUACCUGCAGAAGAAGCGCCGGCUAACUACGUGCCAGCAGCCGCGGUAAUACGUAGGGCGCAAGCGUUGUCCGGAAUUAUUGGGCGUAAAGAGCUCGUAGGCGGUCUGUCGCGUCUGGUGUGAAAUCCCGAGGCUCAACCUCGGGCUUGCAUCGGGUACGGGCAGACUAGAGUGCGGUAGGGGAGACUGGAAUUCCUGGUGUAGCGGUGGAAUGCGCAGAUAUCAGGAGGAACACCGAUGGCGAAGGCAGGUCUCUGGGCCGCAACUGACGCUGAGGAGCGAAAGCAUGGGGAGCGAACAGGAUUAGAUACCCUGGUAGUCCAUGCCGUAAACGUUGGGCACUAGGUGUGGGGCUCAUUCCACGAGUUCCGCGCCGCAGCUAACGCAUUAAGUGCCCCGCCUGGGGAGUACGGA